GUUUAAAUAGUUUAACCUAAAAACACCAGUUUUGUAAGCUGAAGACUAAAGGCUAAUCCCUUUUUUAAACA
rnacentral:tRNA from 1 species